rnacentral:snoRNA from 1 species
UGAUGACAAAUCUCCGGAAUCUCUGUAUUUUCUUGAUGAAUAUCUUUGAACCCUAUUGCUGAUGACUGCUGUUUGUGAAC